UGGAGAUAGUAAGUUUUGGAGUCAAAAGGAACCGUACAUGUCAUGUAGCUAAAGUCCUCCUGUGGCAAAUGAGAAAACCAAGAUCAAGACUAACGAUGGAGUCUGUAAAUUCCUGCUAUCCUGGCACUGUGUACAGGACCCUUUCCAACAGAGGAGAUGCUUAUCCAGCUCCAAAAUUCCCCCCAAACCGCCUUGCAAGCAGGUACAUUCCU
rnacentral:lncRNA from 1 species